AAUUGAAAUAGAAAACUUCGUUCCGCUACUUAGUAAUAAGUGUUGUUGUCCUGAAGAGCUUCAAACUUCUUUUGUCCAUAAGUAAUACAUUAUGUUGGCUUAAGUGCGCAAUAAUGCGUAAUAACACAAUACAAAUUCAGGAGACAUAAAAUGUCUAAAACAACAGGUAUCGUUAAGUGGUUUAACGACGAGAAAGGUUUCGGCUUCAUCACUCAAGAUAACGGCGGUGCUGACGUAUUCGUUCACUUCCGUGCAAUCACUGGUGACGGAUUCAAAUCUCUUGCUGAAGGCCAGAAAGUAUCUUUUGACGUUGAGCAAGGCCAGAAAGGUCCUCAAGCUGCAAACGUUGAAAUCGCAUAAUUCGCUAAUUAAUUAGUGAUCUUAAAAGGGUAUCUUACGAUACCCUUUUUGUU
rnacentral:sRNA from 1 species